rnacentral:tRNA from 1 species
CAAAAUAUAGUAUUAAUAAAAACACCUCUUUUACAAUGAGGAGAUUAUUGUAUUAUCAAUAUAUUUUGA